rnacentral:lncRNA from 1 species
AACACCCACAAACAACGUCACGACGCAACGUGGUUAAACAGUACGUUUAUUAAAGUAACUGGGUGAACGACAUCGGAGCGGACUGCAAAUCGCAACGCUACUUUCUCGAGUGCAGAUACUCUUCGAGACGGCUAAACAACGUGUCCAACUCGCUGAGACCUUUCCGCGUGCCGUUAUCCGAUUUCCUUUCCGCCUCCUGAGACAGCCGACUAAUCACGGACUUAUCUCCGCAACCUAACAGAGGCUGGGAGCCCGACAAAAGUAAAACAGCGUGCUAUGAACACGUUGUUACCUCUGCGCGGACAGCGCCGCCACAGAGACACUUACGCAUUGCCGCAUGUCUUUGUAGAUGGAUUCUAGCGUCGAGCGCAUACUAUGCAAUUCCGUCUUAAGUCCAGGAUAGACGUGGUCGCCUGCGGGGAACACGAUCUCCAGAUACCGCCUCAACAACCAGUCCAUGACGCUGCAUCCCCAACAGCCUUUGACCACCGUACCGUCGAGCCACACGGAGUAGUCGUCCUCAUGUUGCUACAAGAGGAAAACUACGUCACCCGACACGCGGAAAAGAAAGACCGUCACAAUAAACCGUACCUACGUGACCUACCAACGUAGGUUUUACUCGAUGAAAGGUGACGCGGAGAUCUUGCAAUCUGGUCGCGUAAUCCUCCGGACGACACUGCGGCUUUGUAUUCUUUAUCGUCGUCGUCGCCGCCGGCUUCGCCUCCUCGGAAGCGCCUAGAAAAAAGACGAUCAGGACCAGAGAGGAAGAGACCAUCACCGACAGCAUCGCCGCAGCAUGCCGCCCCAGUCCGCCGCCCAACUGCGCGUCCCAGAUACCACUCGUAGACUGUCAGCCUCGCGAGGAGACACCGCGGACCGGGGAAACGGAUAAGUUUACGAACAGAAAUCUCAAGAGAAAGACGCUGACCCGGCAAGUACCGUCACGGAGACACGGUGGUUUUUAUUGAAUUUCCAGUGUAUCGAGCCACCGUGAUGCAGGUACGGUGGUUUUAUGUGAAGUGCCGCUACCUAUAGGCGAUGUGUUCCCUGACGGUGUGUGUUUUUUUUGGGGAUAGACAACGUGGUUCUUGUACGUGGUUUUUACCCUGCUCAAUAAAGUCACGUUUUCCUUACACGGUGUUGUGUC